rnacentral:rRNA from 2 species
UACGGAGGGUGCAAGCGUUAUCCGGAUUUACUGGGUUUAAAGGGUGUGUAGGCGGGCUGUUAAGUCAGUGGUGAAAUCUCCGGGCUCAACCCGGAAACUGCCAUUGAUACUAUCAGUCUUGAAUAUUGUUGAGGUGGGCGGAAUAUGUCAUGUAGCGGUGAAAUGCAUAGAGAUGACAUAGAACACCGAUUGCGAAGGCAGCUCACUAAGCAUGUAUUGACGCUGAGGCACGAAAGCGUGGGGAUCAAACAGG